UAUCAAAAAGUUUUUUUUUUUUUUUUUUUUUUCUGGCACUUUGCCAUGUCUUUUAUAUAAACUUUGUUUUUAGUAUUUGUAUGGUCUGCUUUUAAUGUUUGGUCUUGUUAAGCUUUUACAUUUUUCUAUGUUUUUAAAUCAACUUUAUGAUGUGGGGUUAUUUAAAGCCUAACAUAAAUAGAAUAAAUUAUGACUCUGAAAAACAUUACAAAGCAAUUUUGGUUUAUGC